UUAUUUGAGCUACACAUAUUACUCCCAUACACAUACGCACAUAAACAUUUAUAGGUCACGCAUAUACAGAUACACACAUGUAAAUCUAUCUAUCUGUCUGUCUGUCUACACACAUAUAUAAUUCACUUAAUAGCGGGAUGCGAAGCUCAACAAAAAUGGCCUUUGUUAUGAGAUUACAAAACCAUGAUAUUAGUCAGUAUUCUUGUCUAUUAUAAUAUAAUACUUGUAUUUUAUUUAUUCUCUUUUGUUUUCUCUAAAAAAUUCUUCAGUUAAGAAUUCUGCCCUUUUUUUUGACUCUGGGAUACCCAGCAAGUAUGUGGUUUUACCAGUAUGCAUGUGGAAUAAAUGUCUGUUGAUACUUCAAGUGCAUCUUGCUUGCUCUUCUCCUUCAUGCGCCCCAUGGCCUGUUAAGGACUUUCUUUCUUCCUUGUAACCCACACCAGAACACAGGGGCAAAGCGAAUAAAAAUUUUAAACUGCACACAACAAGCAAUCUUUCAAACGCUGCACUGAUGCACUUGAAACUCUCUAUGAGAGGCUGUGCUUUCUAUGUGCCCUGAUUGAGCAGGAAGAGCUAAGGUUCAUCAUAUGGGUUAUCAUUAUCUUAAGUUUGCCUUCAUCUAUUUAAGAACUCUGUGUGUGUGUGUGUGUGUGUGUGUGAUUUUGCAUACAUAUGGAUACAUACAAACAUAAAGUUGAAAACUUGGUAAUAUCUUAUAUACACAUGUAAAGGUGGUGAGCUGGCAGAAACGUUAGCAUGCUGGGCGAAAUGCUUAGCGGUAUUUCGUCUGCUGUUAUGUUCUGAGUUCAAAUUCCGCCGAGGUCGACUUUGCCUUUCAUCCUUUCAGGGUCAAUAAAUUAAGUACCAGUUACACACUGGGGUCGAUGUAAUCGACUUAAUCCAUUUUUCUGUCCUUGUUUGUCCCCUCUGUGUUUAGUCCCUUGUGGGCAGUAAAGAAACAAAUAUAUUAUAUACACAUGUAGAAGAGGUGUGUGUGUGUGUGUAUCGAGUGCAAUAGAUGCCAUGUGGCAACUGGGAUUUCACUGAUGGCAUUAAAUUUCUUUGUAAUGUAUAAAAUACACACACAUGCGUGCAUACACAUAUACCUUCAUGCAUGCACACACACAGACAUUACACACAGACAUGCUUGUGUUUGAAGUGUUUAGUUUGAGAUUGGCAUCUACUUCUAUGCAUCUCUGAAUAUAUUCACACGCAUAUACACAUGAACAUAAACAUAUUUUUACAUAUGCACACACACACACGCGUUACCAUCAAAUAUACAUACACUAUGUAUGUGUGUGUGUGUGUAAUGUUUGAGAGAGAGAGAGAGGGAGGGAGGGAGAAAAACUAGCUGUUUGUAUGCAAAUGAAUCUUAUCAUAUCUCUGAACUAUUAUUUUAAUUAAAAGCAGUGGGUGUUUCGAAUAAGAACCAUGGAGGUUAAAUGCAUUCUGGAAUUCCUGUCCAUUUCUCGUGGUUCCACAUUCAAAUUCCAUCCAGAUAGGGUUGAUAAAAUAACUCUAAAUGCUUAAUUGGAAUCAAUCUAAUUAUAACUUUUCUUUCAUCCCACCAAACACUUGUUGUUCAAUAAUUACUCUUUUAAUUAUCAUUGCAAAAAUAAACCCAAAAAGCAAACAAAGACCCAAAAAUUCAGUGCUUCAUUUUUUUUUUUUUUUUAAAUAAUUUUAUACUGCAUUUUGUGUGCAAGCUUUUGUGUGUCAACAAUAAAUAUAUUUUAUCUUAAAUUUUACAUGUUUAACCUUAUUUAUUGUAAAAAAAUAAUAAAUCUAUUCGAGAUUUAG
rnacentral:lncRNA from 1 species